rnacentral:misc_RNA from 1 species
GUUAAGUUCCAUUUUAAUAGUUCUUGUAUUCUGCUAAGGUUACACCAUAGCGGACAACCACAGUAAUAUUCAAAGAUUCUAGCUUUUCUUAACAGACAGAAAUGAUGAGUCGUUCACAUAGCCAUACAUGAACCAGGCACCAAUAACCCAUGGAUGUCCUGUAACUAGCACUAGCACAAUUUAAGGGAUCCAAGUAGGAUCUCUAGGACUAAAGAAUGAUGCCUUCACAUGAGAAUUAAGCAACACAAGUGCAGCAUUAGACUUAAUGCACCUUGGCGUUUUGUACUGAUUGAGUGACCCCCCUUGGCCAAUGAACAAAUCCAUCAGUGCCUCGAAUGUACCAGGCUCCACCACACGUAUCUCCAGUGGUCCUAUAGACUUGUCAUAUGCACGACAUCGCCGAUACACAUAAUCGAGUUCUUCUUCCACAGCAAUGCAACAUUCUUGAAGCACCUUGGCAUCAAGUGGGAUUGGAGUGUCCUUGAUGACUGAUGCAUGAUGUAGGAUUUCCCAAUACAAUACAUAGUGCCCUGGUACAGAUGAUGUGUCUGCAUAGCUAGUGUAUUCCACUAGUAGUGCACCGUAGGGUUCAAGUAAUUUCUUUGCUGCUGUGAUGCUCUUGUGAAGAUCUUCCUCAUUGGUUUUGUCAUUGUCAAUGCUUAGGACCACGUUUCUCCUGCAAAUGAAUCGAAAUUGUGGAGCUUGAUUGUGGAAUCCAGUCACUUGAAGCACAUCACCGAUACGGUAACGGUAUAGCCCAGCAAAUGUAGUGACCACUAACUCAUAAUAACAGCCACGUCUAACAUGCACCAAAUCAACAAGCUUAUCACUGGGCACCUCCUCUUCCUCACCGACAUCCAUUAACCAUUUCCCAUUCUCCCCCAGAGGUAUAAACUCAAAGUAACACAUGUUAGGCAUAAGAGUAAAAACCACGUCUGCAGGAUCACACAAGGGCUCCAAGUUGACACCAAAGUAACACUCAGAGGAAGCAUACAUGGUACACACCAAAGGCAACUUCCCCUCACUAUAGUAAUCGAGGGCUGGUACAUAUUGUGCCAUAGAUCCUGUCACAACUGCUUCAAUAUACUUUGUCCUAGGCCAAAGGUGAUACAAUAUACCCUUCCAUGAUGGACGGCUGCAAAUUUCCUCAAUUUCAUCCGCAAGACAAGGAUUAGGUGAUGAUAGUAUCAUUGACAUACUUGAACGGCAUUCAGGAUCAGUGAUCAUGGGAUCUACUUGACCACUGCGUAUAUCAUUGACUAGGUGAACCCAAUUGUGCUCCAGGAAUGAAAUGGCUCGAAGCAGGGCCGACGCAAAUACAGCUCCUAUCCUUAGGACUUGGUGACGGUGAACUAGACCAGAUAACAACUGGCAAUACAUGCUCUGGUUGCUAUCUUUGCACAAGAUAGCUUGAUCUGGGCUAGUGAAAUCAUUGAAGGAAUCAUGUGCUCGGCACUUAAAGUGCUUACUUUUGUAGUAACUUGUUAGCACUGUUCGAACUGGUAAGCCACCAGGAGUCAACUUUUCUGCCUUGACAAAGUACAGACACAUAGCCUUACCUUCAUCCAAACCAGAGAUAUACCUGAAAUUAUAUUGUUAAGUUCAUCGAUACAAAUGAAUCUUAGACCUCUAUAACAAAUUGUUUCUCAAGGAGAAUAAAAUAAUGAUGGACCCCAGACAAAAGAAAUCUAUAAUCCAAAUAAUUCCAGCCAGCUUCAGAGCUAGCUCAUCAACUUUUUAUAUAUGCCACCAGAAGUUCAAUGCAUUCUAGAAGAAGUAAGACUCCUAUAAUAGGCAAAAGUAAAAGUGAUGCAACUCAUCAGUAUAUUACCAGCUCGUGCACCAAAAAUGUGGCUAAUUACUUUGUUCAACUUAUCAUGAAUGGUCUGGAGGAUUCCCCACUAAAAAGGUCCUUGAAAGCAAGAAAGGGAAUUAUUCUAGCAAGUUCUACCCACUAAUGCAUGGUAUUGGAUCCUCUUUCUAAUCCAGAUUAACAAGUCCUUAAGCUCAUAUGCCGUGUUCUGACCAAUAAAUGACUGGAAG